UACGUAGGGUGCGAGCGUUAAUCGGAAUUACUGGGCGUAAAGUGUGCGCAGGCGGCCGCGCAAGUCGAGUGUGAAAGCCCCGAGCUUAACUUGGGAAUUGCGCUCGAAACUACGUGGCUGGAGUGUGGCAGAGGAAGGUGGAAUUCCACGUGUAGCGGUGAAAUGCGCAGAUAUCGGGAGGAACAACCAGUGGCGAAGGCGGGCACUCUGGGCCGGUACUGACGCUGAGGAGCGGAAAGCGUGGGAGCGAACG
rnacentral:rRNA from 1 species